UCUCUGUGGGAAAAUCAGGUUUCAUAGAAAGGUUUUCUGUAUGUUCUUUGUAUGUUCUCCUUUUCUACUCAUCCUGAUGCCCCAAGAGAGCUAAAGAACUGUGUGAAAAUGCAUUAAUUUUAUAUGUCAAACAUAAGUCACGUAUUUUUUGAGACUCUUUAAAAGUUUUUAUCUUACACUUAUUAAGGGCCUUAAAAGCACUUUUUGGUGUUCUUUAUCAAGAUUCAGUGUGCUUGCUGUGAUGGCUAAUCUUGAUUGACCACAACAUAUGACUGGGAGAUGGCUAGAAGCUACCAAGAGGUGAGCAGUUUUCAUCUGCCACAUCCUUCCACCAUGAGAGAACGCCUCACCUCACCAGCCCAGAAACACGGGCCAACCACCUCGGACUGAAACCUCUGAAAAGUACCAAGAAAUAAUGAAAUUCUGGGAGUGCAUCGUCUGAAGUAACUUUGGAAUGAAUAAACCCAAAUAAACAAUGAUCAGAUAAGACAGCUUUUUAUCGGAAUCUGAAGCGAUUGCUAAAGAGCUGGAAAGCAGUGUCAAAAACUGGGUAGGUUAUGUAAUUCUAAUUUGUUUUCACAGUGUGAGGUUUUUAGUAGAUUAAUAAGCUAGUGGAAGAAGAAGUAAUGGGUUUAUGAUCUAGAGAUCAUAGAGACACUAUUAAAAUUGUAAAUGAAAAGCUUAGCACGUGGCUGUGAUAAAAAAUAAAAACAAAAACUGGAAGGAAAAAAACCAACAAAACAAACUCUAAGGAUGCCUGGUUUGUUUAGAAACAUGGACAGGAAGUAAGGUUAAUGAGAAGUGAGCUAUAAUCUUUUUAUAUUCUAGAAUAUUCUCUCCCUGUUUUUAGUUCUUGCCAUGGUGGUGCUAGGAGCUAGAUGCUCUUGU